GAAGAUGAUACCUCUCUGCAAUGCUUCUCAGGCAGCAGCAGGUACAAGAUCAUGAAUGAAUACAUCUCACAGUGGAUCUGAUCCUUGGAUUUCUACCAGCACACUGUUGAACUGAAUCACUGCUUUUGGUCACAGUGUUUUUGGCUGCAGUUCUUUGUACACCAAUCUGGAGAUUGGAAUGGGUGAGGAGAAGAGUGCAAGAGCAGCAAUUUAACUAAAUAACAAGAAAGGAGGAGAGUGUGCUCUCAGCAGAACAACAGAUGCAUGUUUACUCCAAAGGAAGACCCAUGAAGUUCCAUGGGAUUUGCUCCCAGGAAAGUGUGCACAGAAUUGCAGCCAAGUCAUUUCAUAUGACUGGGCAAGAGGAAAGGGGAACAAUUCAGCCCGAUUGCAGGAACUGGUUUAUUAAGAGAGAUGAUUUCUUUCUUUCGGUCAAACCUCCACAGCAGUUUUAACAGGAGUAUGUGGGAGGUGGGGAAGGAUUCUGCAGAAGUGUGUGUGUGUGCGCAAUUAUGAUAAAGUUUGGAAAGCUGAAAGUAUGUUUUUGUGCAACAACCACAUUUUAAAUAAAAACAUA